rnacentral:rRNA from 1 species
ACGGAAGGUGCAAGCGUUAGCCGGAAUUACUGGGCGUAAAGGGUGCGCAGGCGGUGAUAUAAGUCGGAUGUGAAAUUCUAAGGCUUAACCUUGGAGCUGCAUCCGAGACUGUACCACUAGAGGAAAAGCGGAGAGAAUGGAAUUCGAUAUGUAGCGGUGAAAUGCUUAGAUAUGUGGAAGAACACCAAUGGUGAAGGCAGUUCUCUAAACUACUCCUGACGCUGAUGCACGAAAGCAAGGGGAGCAAACAG